CUGCAGGCUGAUCAGCGAGUCUGGGUCCCACAUGUGACCCUGUUCUUUCCUGUAUGUCUGCUAGAGAGACGUUGAGGUUGUUUGAGGCCUUUGCUAUCUUCUUUAUAGGGAGGCUAUAGAAACCUCCCACAUGC
ensembl:snoRNA